rnacentral:rRNA from 1 species
GAACGUCCUCGCACUUUUCGGAGUGCGAGGGAGUGGCGGACGGGUGAGUAGCACGUGGGUGACCUACCCGCAAGUGAGGGAUACCGGCGAGAAAUCGCCGACAAGACCGCAUAGGCUUUUCUCUUCGCUGAGAGAAGCAAAGCCUUGUUUUUCGGAACGAGGUGCUUGAGGAUGGGCCCGCGGCCGAUUAGCUAGUUGGUGGGGUAACGGCCUACCAAGGCGACGAUCGGUAGCUGGUCUGAGAGGACGAUCAGCCACACUGGGAUUGAGAACGGCCCAGACUCCUACGGGGGGCAGCAGUGAGGAAUUUUCGGCAAUGGAGGCAACUCUGACCGAGCAACGCCGCGUGCAGGAAGACGCUUUUCGGAGUGUAAACUGCUUUUCCCAGGGAAGAGAGCGGACGGUACCUGGGGAAGAAGCCCCGGCUAACUACGUGCCAGCAGCCGCGGUAAU